rnacentral:pre_miRNA from 1 species
GGGUAUCUAAAAGAUACCACCAUGCUACAGAUAGCAGUCAAAACUUGACUCUAAAACCACAUCAAGUAUUCAUACAACACCAGGAGUAAAGUCUUUUCUCUUGUUGCUGUAUGAAUACUUGAUGUGGUUUUAGAGUCAAGUUUUGACUGCUAUCUCUAGUAUGGUGGUAUCUUUUAGACACCC